CCCUGCUCCCCCGGCUACUUCUGUCUGGCAGGAGCCUCCUCCCCAACCCCGACAGGCCACUCAGGGCAGGGAGGCCCCUGUCCCCGAGGCCACUUUUGCCCCAGGGGAACCAGCCUCCCACAGCCCUGCCCUGCCGGCUCCUACAGCUACCUGACUGGCCAGGCCUCCUGCUUCCCUUGCCCCGCUGGCUACUACUGCCCCGAGAACAUCACCAACUACAGCGGGCACCCCUGUCCCGCUGGCUUCUACUGCCCCAGAGGCACCAAGUACGCCACCCAGUUCCCCUGCCCUCGGGGCGACUACAACCCAGACCCGCUGACCCAGAGCCUGGACAGCUGCCUGCCCUGCCACUACUGUGGGCAGGAGAACCUGACCCGGGCCUCUGGGCCUUGUGAUGCCAGUGAGUCUCCUGCCUUGCCCUAAGACGCCCACUGUCCAUCUCUGCACUUCCCACUUCUGCUCCUGGACCUGGGGUCACCCGGACUACCUCCUGGAGCAGCUAACGGGAGGGGUGGGUGGGCCUGCAGCCUGGUAAGCCUGGCCCUGGACUCCUUGGCCCACCGCCCACCCCUCCCCACUGGUUUCUACCCCAGGAUGGUU
rnacentral:lncRNA from 10 species